rnacentral:rRNA from 1 species
AGUGAACGCUGGCGGCAGGCCUAACACAUGCAAGUCGAGCGGCAGCGCGGGGGCAACCCUGGCGGCGAGCGGCGGACGGGUGAGGAAUUCGUCGGAAUCUGCCUUUUGUGGGGGAUAACGUAGGGAAACUUACGCUAAUACCGCAUACGACCUACGGGUGAAAGUGGGGGACCGCAAGGCCUCACGCAGAAAGAUGAGCCGACGACCGAUUAGCUAGUUGGUGGGGUAAAGGCCCACCAAGGCGACGAUCGGUAGCUGGUCUGAGAGGAUGAUCAGCCACACUGGGACUGAGACACGGCCCAGACUCCUACGGGAGGCAGCAGUGGGGAAUAUUGGACAAUGGGCGCAAGCCUGAUCCAGCCAUGCCGCGUGUGUGAAGAAGGCCUUCGGGUUGUAAAGCACUUUUGUCCGGAAAGAAAUCCUUCAACUUAAUACGUUGGGGGGAUGACGGUACCGGAAGAAUAAGCACCGGCUAACUUCGUG